UUUCAGGCAUCUCUGGAUCUGAUGGGGAAAAGUAGAAAAACACCCAUAAAAGCAAUUUAAGGAUAAAAAGAUAAGGAAAGUCAUCCUGCAAAUUAAGGACAUAAGGGCCAUGGGACCUCAAUGUUAAUUAAGGUGUUUUCAAAGCCCUUUGGAAGACGCAGAAGGACCAACAUGGCAGACAGACAUCGUGUAUUCUGUCUGAGGUUGAGGUUCUCUGCAGGGAGAGGGAUAAAUGAGGAAAGAGAAACAGGCCCAGAAUGCAAAGGACUUUUAAACGAAAAUUCUAGAAUAUAGAUAAUCAGUUUCUGUUCUGAAAGAGAACACAAUCUAGUUGAGUCACAUCUAACAAGCUCAUUUGAGCUAACAAGGGGAUCUCUCUGUACUGUUUCUUACAACUGCACGUGAAUCUACCAUUAUUUCAAAACUUUUAAUUUUUUAUUUUUUUUAAAAAAGAACAGCUUCAAAGAACAUGUUGAGAUGAGGGAAUUACAACCAUCUGUGUGAGACCCAGGCACAGGCACCCGGACCGGAGUCCACUUGGCCCAGGUCACGAAGGGGGAGGAGACUGCUGCCAGCAAGUGCUGCAGGCCACAGCCGAGCAGUUCCACGACUCCAAGAUCAAGUUGGAUCCUACCGGAUCCUGCUCGGCCAGCUCAAGCCACGCGUCACCACCAAGAGGCCCGACACCUUCUAGGUGCAGGGCCCUCCAGCCCUGCCCAAAUAAACUUCAAAAACACCAAAAACAAAACAAAAAAAGGCACAGGACGUGUUGCUCUGGCCAGAACUCUGUACCAAACAAGAGGCCCGAUCCAGCCACACAGAGUCCCAGUGCCGGGGGAGUGAGGCAGACACAGGACUCGGACAGCAGACACUGAGGCGCAGCAGCUGUCUCAGCUGAAGGCAGCAGUGCUGAGGAGGUGGGGGCUUUCUGGCGGAAGCAGGGCUGGGACGAAGGAGCAGAGCACACGGAAGAGUUGGGAGGGCUUCCAGAACACCUCUGUCCUCUGUGCUCCUGCCUCCCUGACCAUCCCCUACUCAGCCUCGACUUUCCUGCCUGGGCAGGAAUCCUGGCUUCACUGUCAACUUGCUUCAAGGCUUUGAGGUCUUGCUCUGUCACCCAAGCUGAAGUGCAGUGGCAUC